GGGACACGUGAAACCCUGUGGGAAGCAGGAGGGACCACCCUCCAAGGCUAAAUACUACCUAGUGACCGAUAGCGUAUAGUACCGUGAGGGAAAGGUGAAAAGAACCCCGGGAGGGGAGUGAAAUAGAACCUGAAACCCUGCACUUACAAGCUGUGGAAGCACAUUUCUUGUGUGACCGCGUACUUUUUGUAGAACGGGCCAACGAGUUACGUUAAGUAGCAAGGUUAAGCACUUAAGGUGCGGAGCCGUAGCGAAAGCGAGUUUUAACUGAGCGUUCAGUUACUUGACGUAGACCCGAAACCGGGCGACCUACCCAUGAGCAGGAUGAAGCGAAAGUAAAAUUUCGUGGAGGUCCGAACCCACGAGCGUUGAAAAGCUCGGGGAUGACUUGUGGGUAGCGGUGAAAUUCCAAUCGAGCCCGGAGAUAGCUGGUUCUCCCCGAAAUAGCUUUAGGGCUAGCCUCAAGGUGAGAGAUACGGAGGUAGAGCACUGAAUGUCCUAGGGGGUAUUGCACCUACCGAAGACUAUCAAACUCCGAAUGCCGUCAUCUUAUACUUGGGAGUCAGACUGUGGGUGAUAAGAUUCAUAGUCGAAAGGGCAACAGCCCAGAUCGUCAGCUAAGGUCCCUAAAUGUAAGUUAAGUGGUAAAGGAUGUGGGAUUGCACAGACAACCAGGAUGUUGGCUUAGAAGCAGCCACUCAUUCAAAGAGUGCGUAAUAGCUCACUGGUCGAGUGAUCCUGCGCCGAAGAUUUCCGGGGCUAAAACUUACUACCGAAGCUACGGCAUCAGUAAUGAUGGGUAGGGGAGCUUCCCAUACGGGUUGAAGCAUGACCGUAAGGACAUGUGGACAGUAUGGGAGUGAGAAUGUUGGCAUGAGUAGCGAGAUGUGGGUGAGAAUCCCACAGGCCGUAAACCCAAGGUUUCCAGGGGAAGGUUCGUCCGCCCUGGGUUAGUCGGGACCUAAGCUGAGGCCGAAAGGCGUAGGUGAUGGACAACAGGUUGAUAUUCCUGUACUACCGAUAACCGUUUGAGAGAAGGGAUGACACAGUAGGAUAAGCUAAGCACACUGUUGGUUAUGUGUGCCCAAGCAUUGAGGCAGUCAAAGUAGGCAAAUCCGCUUUGAUAAUGCUGGGAUGUGAUGGGGAGCGAAAUUUAGUAGCGAAGUAGCUGAUUUCACACUGUCAAGAAAAGUCUCUAUCGAGGUUAAAGGUACCCGUACCGCAAACCGACACAGGUGGGUGAGGAGAGUAUCCUAAGGCCAGCGAGAGAACUGUUGUUAAGGAACUCGGCAAAAUGACCCCGUAACUUAGGGAUAAGGGGUGCCACCAUCAGGUGGCCGCAGAGAAUAGGCCCAAGCGACUGUUUACCAAAAACAUAGGUUUCUGCUAAGUCGCAAGACGAUGUAUAGGAGCUGACGCCUGCCCGGUGCUGGAAGGUUAAGGGGAUCUGUUAGAGCAAUCGAAGCAGUGAACUUAAGCCCCAGUAAACGGCGGCCGUAACUAUAACGGUCCUAAGGUAGCGAAAUUCCUUGUCGGGUAAGUUCCGACCCGCACGAAAGGCGUAACGAUUUGGGCACUGUCUCAACAACAGACUCGGUGAAAUUGUAAUUCCGGUGAAGAUGCCGGAUACCUGCGACAGGACGGAAAGACCCCAUGGAGCUUUACUGUAGCUUGACAUUGGGUCUUGGUACUACAUGUACAGGAUAGGUGGGAGGCUUUGAAACCAGGACGCCAGUUUUGGCGGAGCCAUCCUUGGGAUACCACCCUUGUAGUACUGGGACUCUAACCAUAGGCCAUGAAUCUGGUCUUGGGACACUGUCAGGUGGGCAGUUUGACUGGGGCGGUCGCCUCCCAAAAGGUAACGGAGGCGCUCAAAGGUUCUCUCAGUACGGUCGGAAAUCGUACGUAGAGUGUAAAGGCAAAAGAGAGCUUGAUUGCAAGACAUACAGGUCGAGCAAGGAUGAAAAUCGGACUUAGUGAUCCGGUGGUUCUGCGUGGAAGGGCCAUCGCUCAACGGAUAAAAGCUACCCUGGGGAUAACAGGCUUAUCUCCCCCAAGAGUCCACAUCGACGGGGAGGUUUGGCACCUCGAUGUCGGCUCAUCACAUCCUGGGGCUGUAGUAGGUCCCAAGGGUUGGGCUGUUCGCCCAUUAAAGUGGUACGCGAGCUGGGUUCAGAACGUCGUGAGACAGUUCGGUCCCUAUCCGUCGCAGGCGUAGGAAAUUUGAGAAGACCUGUCCUUAGUACGAGAGGACCGGGAUGGACG
rnacentral:rRNA from 1 species